UACAGAGGUCUCAAGCGUUGUUCGGAUUCAUUGGGCGUAAAGGGUGUGUAGGUGGCGCCGUAAGUCGGGUGUGAAAUUUCGGAGCUUAACUCCGAAACUGCAUUCGAUACUGCGGUGCUUGAGGACUGGAGAGGAGACUGGAAUUCAUGGUGUAGCAGUGAAAUGCGUAGAGAUCAUGAGGAAGACCAGUGGCGAAGGCGGGGUCUCUGGGCAUUAACUGACGCUGAGGAGCGAAAGCAUGGGGGAGCGAACAGG
rnacentral:rRNA from 1 species